CGGGCUUCCACAGUCUAAAAUGGAGACCAUCAAAACAUAAAGAAAUAAUAAAAGAAACAGAAAAAUAAUGAAUCGUCAGAAAAUAAAUACACCUUGAAAAAAAGGAAACUUAAUCUACUCUUAUUCAAUCUUCCAACGGCUGGAAACCAUUAAUCCUUCUCGUCGUUUCAUUUCAUCUAUCCCAUCUGUUCCAUCCGUCUGACGAUAACACUGCCCAAAAGUAUCUUUCUUUGCUAUCUGCUUUAAGACCAAAUCCUCUCUCUGUCUUCUUAGUUUGGAUUCCUUGCCCAUUGCUCUGCUGCACCAACAUUGUGACGAAUCGUCUCUUCAUUCUCCAAGUAUGCCCUCUCGCUUCUCUUUAAUGCUUUCUUCGCGAUAUUAUGGGCUCUCGUAUUCUUCAUUUUCUGGAUAUGCUUGAACUCGAUCUUCUGGAAACAUGAUUUUUUACUUUGGAUGUCUCUGAUAAUCGCUCCAAUAACUGAAUAAUCGGUUGCUGUUGACUGACAUUUCUUGAUUACUGUUAGUGAGUCACCUAAUAUUUGUAUUUCUUGAAAACUCAUUUCGAUUCCUAACUUAACUGCUUCCAACCCUGGAUAUGCUUUUGCUGCGAACAGAGAUGCAAUAUUGUUAUGAAGAAUCGAUUUCGAGGCCAAAUACUUGUUCAUCGUGCCCCAGACCACUAGCCCUGAUGCCGAUCUGAAAUCUCUAUUAUCGAAUGCAGCAUCAAACUGGAUUUUCAUAAUUGGUAAGUCCUCCACAGUUCUUUGAUUAUGCACCAUGUUUGAUAAAAUUUUCUUUGCUUUAAUCCCUUCAUAUUCUGCCAUGUGGUUCUGGACUUUUUGUGCAAGGUCUUUGCCUAUUGAACGUACCCUUUCAUGCAAAAGCUGGUUUCUUGAAUGCCAAAGUAACCGUAAGGCAUAACAAAAGUAUCUGCACUGUUCGUUUGUUCCUUGUUUGAAAAUUUCGGUAAGCUAUUCCCAAAAAUUUUGAUGCGUGAUAUUUGUGAUCCAAGAUAGAUUUAAUAACUGCCAGACUUCGGUGCUUAUAGGACAUUGCCUGAAGAUGUGAUGACAAUCUUCUUCCCCAUAACCACAACAAGGACAACUAGAAUUUGUCACUAAUCUUCUAUAUCUGAGAUUGCCCAAAAUAGGAAUGUAAUUCUAGGAGAUGCGCCAGAUUAUGAUUGUAAUCUUAGAUGGUAGCUGUAGGUUCCAUAGCUUUCCAAAAAAUUCCUUAAUUUUGGUUUGUAAUAGAUAAUUACUAGGAUCUAGAUUAGCAUUUUGUAAUAGUUUGUAGGCACUACGAACUAAAUAUUCACCAGUCGGUUUGCCCCUCCAGACUUGAAAGUCCUCGAGAUCUGAUUCCGAUAAUGGGAUUUGUAAAAUUAUGCGAGCAACAUCCGGGUGAAAGGUAUUUCUAAUCAGCUCUGCCCUUCAUUUCCUAUUCACAUUAUCAAUAAGAUCCAAUACUAACUCUAACUGCAUAUUGUCUGAACUAUUGUGCCUUUCUAAUGAUUCAAUCAUUCCAAAUAGAUACUUUAUUUCCUAUUCCAAUUCGCCAACAUAAACCUUUUUGAAAGAGACCUUUUGCUGCCCAAAUGCUCUUCCAGGUAAGUGAAGAUAAAGUUCCUAACUGAGCCUCUAGGAAAUUCGAUUUCGGUUAUUAUUUUACUUUUAAGACCCUGGCUAGUAAUGAAUUAAGAUAAUUAAUUAGACGCCAUCCUUGUUUAGCAAGCAACGCAAUAUUAAAUUGGCUCAAAUUUUGAAAACCUAAGCCACCAUUUUCUUUUAAAAAAUACAGAUUUUUCCAAGUGCACCAAUAAAUUCCCCUUUUCCCAUGUCCCUUCUACCACCAAUAUUUUGCUAUAAUAUUUUCGAGAUCAUUACAUAGAGAAUGAGUUAAUAAAAAACAGGCCAUCGUAUAAGUUGGAACAAUUUGAAGAAUUACUUUCAUAAAGACUUCUUUCCCACCUUGCAAUAGAAACCUGAUACUCCAGUUAUCGAUACGUUUUUUAAGGCGAUCUUUCAAAUUCUGAAAAGCUUCAUUUCUUCUCUUUCCCACCAUAUUCGGCAGACCCAAAUAGCGUUCUGGCUCGCUUGAGCUAUGGACUCUCAAUACAUUGACUACCAGUUGCUUAUCUUCCUUUAAUGUGUUUUUACUGAAAAAUAUCGUUAAUUUAUCAAAUUUCAUAUACUGACCCGAGCAAAGUCUGUAUUCUUGUAAGAUAUUUUUGAAUAAAUGUGCCCCCUUCUUGUUGCUUCCCCAAAUAGGAUACAGUCAUCUGCAAAUAUUAAGUGUGAGAUUAGCGGACCAUUCCUACUAACCUUCACUCCUUUCAAAAGCCUUUCCCUUGCUGCUAGUCGCAUUAGACUCGAUAAGCCCUCACCACAUAAAAGAAAUAGAAAUGGGCUUAAUGGGUCACCCUAACGAAGUCCUCUAGUCAAUUGAAAUUUCUCUCCUAAAUGUCCAUUCAUGACCACUAAAUAAGAAACAAUGGUAAUACAUUGCAUAAUAGUCUCUAUACAUAUAGUUGCAAAACCCAUUCGUAUCAUUAUCUGCUUUACAAAGUCUCAUUCUACUCUAUCAUAAGCUUUACUCAUAUCAAGUUUCACUGCCAUGAACCCUUUUUUCCCCAUCCUCUUUUGCUUCACGUAUUCAAAAUUUCAUAAGCUAACAACACAUCAUCAGAUAUUAAUCUUUCUGGUACAAAAGCAAUCUGUGCAAUAUCAAUACAUUUACCAAUCACUUCUCGAAAUCGAUUCGCAAUAGCCUUUGCCAAGAUUUUAUACAGAACAUUACAAAGAUUAAUCGGACGAAAAUGCCUCAUAUCAGAAGGGCUAGAAUUCUUUGGGAUUAGCACAAUAUUUGUAGAGUUAAUUGAACUAACCUCCAUAUCACCAUUUAAAAGUUGUAGACAGCAACCAGUGACUUCAUAUCUAAUAAUGUGCUAGUAUUUCUAAUAAAACAGUCCUGGAAGUCCAUCCUUCCUGGAGCCUUCGUAGAUCUCAUCUCGAACAACGCCGCUUUGAUUUCUUCCUUCGUAUAUUUCGCAGUUAGUUGUUUAUUGUCCUCAUCAUGUAUGCACUGGCUAAUGCCUGAUAACAAAUGUUUAUUAGGGCCUCUUGGUCCUGUCGAGAAUAACUUAUGGAAAUAUGAACGAGCGACUCCCUUCAUUUUUUGUGUAAUGACCCGAAUUUUACCGAUACUGAAAAAGUGUAAUUUUGGACCUUUGUUUAUGAAAAAUGGAUUCGUAAAUAUUUAUUAAAAAUAUUUACGAAGUAAAAUGAGUGGUUAAUUAGAGUUUAAUUAAGUGAAUUUAACUUAAUUAAGAGUGAUUAGGAAAAAAGAUUAAGUUGAAUAAAGUGUAAAAAUUUAAUUACAGAAUUAAAGAAGAUAAGGGGGACUAAAUAGGCAAUUAAGCCUAUUCUAAAGAAUGGGGCAGCAAAACAUAAAAAUCUUUGAUUUUUAUGUUGUUUAAAUUAUAAAUAUAUUAUUAAUGUUAUUAUUUUAUUAUAUUAUAAAUUAAAUUAAUUAUAUUAUUAUAUUUUGAAAUAAAUUAAGAAACGACAAAUGUAUGGUGUAUAUGGAUAUGGUGACAUGUGUAAUAUUAAUAUACAUACAAUUAUAAAAUACAUGUAUAUUUACUUAUCAUAUAAGUAUAUUAUUAAAUUAUAUAUUAGUAUUAAGUAAAAAAAUAUUUAUAUAAUAAAUAGAUUAAAGAAAGACAAAUGUAAGGAUAUAAAUGGAUACAAAUGUUAAAUAAAUAUUGGUUAGUAUGAAAUCGAGACAAGUUAUUAUGAAAAUAUAUUUAAAUUAUCUGUAAGUGUUUUGUACUCCUCGGUACUGCAAUUGUAAUGACCCGAAUUUUACCGAUACUGAAAAAGUGUAAUUUUGGAAAAAUGGUAAAUUACCAAUAUGCCCCUAAAUCUUGGUAUUUCUGCAAUUUAGUCAGGUAAGUUCGUAUAUCCUGAAUGAGUAUGUAAAUAUGACAAUUUAAGUAUUGUAUCGUAUUUUAUAUGAUAUUUUGAAUUGAAUAUAUGAAAAGGAUGUUACAUGAAACAUGAAAAUGAAUACUAAAUAAUAUAAAUUACUUAAUAAUUAUUCUGAAAAUCUCGGUAAUGCCUCGUAUCCUAUCCCGGUCUCAGGUACGGGUAUGGGGUAUUACAUUUAAUGGUAUCAGAGCUAUGGUUUGUCGGUUCUCGGACCAAACGUAGUAUAUGUGAAGUCUAAAAACACAUGUCAUUAAAAUAUGUGAUAGUGUGAUAUCUCUCGACUCUAAUGAAAUUUGUUUUACUUAUAGAAAGAGAUGUUUUUCUACCAAGCUAAUUCUGAUAAUGCCAAAAGUGAUACUCAAGUAUAAGAGUAGAAAGUUG
rnacentral:lncRNA from 1 species